rnacentral:lncRNA from 1 species
AUAUUAGAUUACAAUGUCAGUCAACAGAGCUAAAAGUCCCAAGCAGCCUCCAUAAAUCCGCUCCGCAAAGCUGCAUAAACGCCCGGCGAAUUACAUCCGAGUACGUUAUCUCCAAUUAAAACGACGUUUACGGUUAGCCGCUUUGCUGCGACUGCGAAAUACGCGUCCCUUCUUUCCUUCGCUCGGAUCGAAAAACAACCGUUAUUUCCUCGAUUGCAGGCGAUCCGACUGCCUUUAGUGAAAGAAGUCACAAGCGCGAGCUGCCGUCUGUGCCCUGCGUUAGUUCCUGCUGUUUUUCUUGACCCUGUAAAGACUGCACCCCUAGCAGCGCUGCCAUCUUAGCUUCAUCAUCCUUCCCUGUUCAUGUCGCUGACUGUCAAGCAUGCUGGGAUACAUUCCCAUCCGUAGCACACACCGGCUGUGAUUCAAAACGCAGUGCGCGGCCUACCUAGUCUCUAUUUGGGCGCGCGAGCGUCGACUUUGAAUGCGCCUAGAGUGCUGUGUUGUUAGUGGACUCGGCAGAUUUUUAAACGCGCCGCGUCAGAUGCAGGAUUACCACUUAAGCACCAUUACUAGUGACCUUUACUGCAAUAGAACGAGGGAUAUAUCCUUGAAGAGGUAAGGUAAAAGUGUAAGGAUUAAUAAAUCAACACAAACGCUCAAUCAAGCAGACAAUAAAUGAAUGAAUGAACGAAUAAGUGAAUGAUAACCUACAAAUCUGAAUAUCGGGGGGUAUGUGUCCCCUUGU